rnacentral:tRNA from 1 species
UUCCCCAAGGGCGUCUGGGAAGAGGAAGGGGGCGCUUCCAUCGCCCCUGAAGAGGUCAGGGGCGGUGGUUCUAUGCCUGAUGGGGUGU